GAAUUUGCCAAGUCAACGCUUUUGUGUCUGCGAAUUACGACAAUCUCUCGUGUAUAGGUGAAGACUUACCUCCCCAGGCGUUCGUUCCUAAGUGGCUUUGUUCUUCUCUCUGAACGGUCUUUCUCAUGUCUGGAUAUUUUUGAGUGGUCCCUGAUGACGUGAUUGUCCCUAUGUCUGCGCCUUUCUUGUCUCAUAUGGUUCGACCCAGAUCGCCUAUCUUGGUCAAUUGUGUAAUAAUGAUCAUCAUAAGUUUGACAUGCUGCUUUCGGAGCAUGAGACGGCUACUUCUUCAAGUUUUUUUUUAUUGUGUUUCUGAGUUGCUUGUUUUCCUUUUCCAACUCUUGGUAACGUUCACGUAGCGCCAAAUCGGUAGGCAUCACUUGUGGAUUGUUAACUUGUACUAUAUGUGGGGAUGACGCACACCUCUACUAGCAAUAGUUUCAAUAUGAAUACCCUGAGUGCUUGUGUGCUGAUUUCCAACUUUUUCCCUGACGAUUGAGGUUUUCUCUAUUGGUACGAGGAGGUGUUUUAUGUACCCAAGUAUUGUUUCCCGUGAAACUUGGACAUGUUCUAACAGAAUGAGCAACUGAUGUUGUUGAUGAAAGUGAUGUCUCCACUCCAUUCUGGUAAGUCUGGACCACAUCGCUUUGUAUUGUUCGAUUGAUGACGCCUUGAGAAGGACGAUUUCGGGUAAGUGUAUCACCAUUCCUUCCAUGUUGAUUUUCUUGUGAAGCAUCCAUGUGAUAUCUUUCUUUUUGCAGCUUUUGGUAACACCAGUAUUACAACAGAAAACAAGUGUGAUAACUGUUGUUGUUUCAGAGAAGGUCUGCAACGCUUGAUUGGCUGUCGCUGGUUCUGAAAACUAUUGUUGUUUCUAAGAAGAUCUGCAACACUUGACUGGCUGUUGUUGUUUCUGAAACUGUUGUUGUUUCUGGAACUGUUGCAGAAACUUCUCUUCUAAAAAAAACUUGGGAAAACAACUUUUUUCUCAAGGGGAGCACGAUCUUUUUGCUCGUAGUCCCCUUAAUCGGCGCCAAAAGAUGUUGGUGCAAAAAUAUUCACCCAACACUCUUCGAGAUAUGUGUAGAUGGAUUAAAUCUCCAUCGUUGAUUUGAUUCCACCAAAGAUGCUGAAGAAAUUGUGGUUGAUGUAGAUUGAUCGAUCUCCAGCUACUGACUCAAAUCCAUAAAAGAUUGCUGAUGUGAAUGAUGUUGAAUGGUGGGGGUACCUGCAAAAAACACUCUGAUGCUAAAGUCAGAGAGAGUUUCUUCACAGGUGUAUUGUGUGGAAAGGAUUAGAAAAUUUGUACCUUUUGAGUUAGGAUUUAGCCUCUAUUUAUAGGCAGAAAGUAGGUCUAGCUUUAGGAUUUUCAUAGUUAUCUUAAUAACUUCCCUUACCUGUACAAAUCCAAGAAAAC